AUGGCUGCUGCACGCUGCUGCCUCUCCCUGCUGCUCCUGUCCACCUGUGUGGCUCUGUUGCUGCAGCCACUGCUGGGUGCCCGGGGAGCCCCGCAGGAGCCAUUGUACCCAGGGGGCAAUGCCACGCCAGAGCAGAUGGCCCAGUAUGCAGCUGAGCUCCAUAGAUACAUCAACGUGCUGACCAAGCCUAGGCAUGUGCCAUGGACAUGGAGAGAGACCCCAGCCCCUGGGACCCUGGGCCCACUCCACAUUCCUGGCCACACCCUAUCCCCAGCCCAAGCCCCAUCUCCAGCCCCAGCCCCUUCCAGGCCACUCUUGGGGAAACAGAGCAUCUGUGCUGACCAGGCCUGGGCCCAUGUGCCCUGGGCACGUGAGUGCCUACCGGCAGAUAUGAAACAGGUGGGCUGGCACCUGGGCACAGGGCUUCCAUGUAUAGGGAAAAAGACAAAGAGGACACGCUAGCCUUCUCAGACUGGGGUCCUCCCAUGCUGCUGCCCCCAGGGAGCUCAGCCUGAUGGAACUGUAAUGCUACCUCCUGCCUCCUACCACUCCAUGGGCAGUGCCAGCCCAGCUCUCCCCUCCGCACUGUUGGCUGUGGCCGAAACUGGCUCCUUGUUCCCGCACAGGCUCAAUAAAGCAAGUCAAAGC